GUAGGGUGCGAGCGUUAAUCGGAAUUACUGGGCGUAAAGCGUGCGCAGGCGGUUCGUUGUGUCCGAUGUGAAAGCCCCGGGCUUAACCUGGGAAUGGCAUUGGAAACUGGCGAGCUUGAGUGCGGCAGAGGGGGGUGGAAUUCCGCGUGUAGCAGUGAAAUGCGUAGAGAUGCGGAGGAACACCGAUGGCGAAGGCAGCCCCCUGGGUCGACACUGACGCUCAGGCACGAAAGCGUGGGGAGCAAACAGGAUUAGAUACCCUGGUAGUCCACGCCCUAAACGAUGUCGACUGGGUGUUGGGGAAGCGAUUCCCUAGUACCGUAGCUAACGCGUGAAGUCGACCGCCUGGGGAGUACGGCCGCAAGGUUA
rnacentral:rRNA from 1 species